GAUGAACGCUGGCGGCGUGCCUAAUACAUGCAAGUCGAGCGAACAGACGAGGAGCUUGCUCCUCUGACGUUAGCGGCGGACGGGUGAGUAACACGUGGAUAACCUACCUAUAAGACUGGGAUAACUUCGGGAAACCGGAGCUAAUACCGGAUAAUAUAUUGAACCGCAUGGUUCAAUAGUGAAAGACGGUUUUGCUGUCACUUAUAGAUGGAUCCGCGCCGCAUUAGCUAGUUGGUAAGGUAACGGCUUACCAAGGCAACGAUGCGUAGCCGACCUGAGAGGGUGAUCGGCCACACUGGAACUGAGACACGCUCCAGACUCCUACGGGAGGCAGCAGUAGGGAAUCUUCCGCAAUGGGCGAAAGCCUGACGGAGCAACGCCGCGUGAGUGAUGAUGGUCUUCGGAUCGUAAAACUCUGUUAUUAGGGAAGAACAAAUGUGUAAGUAACUAUGCACGUCUUGACGGUACCUAAUCAGAAAGCCACGGCUAACUACGUG
rnacentral:rRNA from 1 species